UACGAAGGGGGCUAGCGUUGCUCGGAAUCACUGGGCGUAAAGCGCACGUAGGCGGAUUGCUAAGUCAGGGGUGAAAUCCUGGAGCUCAACUCCAGAACUGCCUUUGAUACUGGCGACCUUGAGUCCGGGAGAGGUGAGUGGAACUGCGAGUGUAGAGGUGAAAUUCGUAGAUAUUAGGAAGAACACCGGUGGCGAAGGCGGCC
rnacentral:rRNA from 1 species